ensembl:misc_RNA Gm23755 predicted gene, 23755
GGGGUGAGCGCAAUCUGGCUGCAGCAUCUAUCAACUCCUUCCAGGGUUGAUAGAUGCUGGUUAGCUGGCUAGGUGGGAUGCAUGUCUCCCGAAGCCACGCCCUCACCACUCCAUGUGUGUCCCUCCCGAAGCCACGCCCUCAGUUGAAGAGCAUGACCUUCUCCAAAUAGAGGAGGAGCAGCCUUCAGACAACGUGUGCGCUCCCCUGCUAGAACCUCCAAACAAGCUCUCAAGGGACAAGUAACAAGCUUUCUUAUAUGUCUGUAAUUGACAGCUUGAAGGUCUAACACCUGACUUCACUUCCUUUGAUGGUCUCUGGAGAGAGUGGAAGCUGAGACUCUGU